rnacentral:rRNA from 1 species
UGCCAGCCGCCGCGGUAACACGAACCGGACGAACGUUAUUCGGAAUUACUGGGCUUAAAGAGUGCGUAGGCGGUCUGUUAAGUUGGGUGUGAAAUCCCUCGGCUCAACCGAGGAACUGCGCCCAAAACUAUCAGACUUGAGGGAGACAGGGGUGAGCGGAACUGAUGGUGGAGCGGUGAAAUGCGUUGAUAUCAUCAGGAACACCGGUGGCGAAGGCGGCUCACUGGGUCUCUUCUGACGCUGAGGCACGAAAGCUAGGGUUGCGAACAGGAUUAGAUA